rnacentral:rRNA from 1 species
GGUGAACGCUGACAGAAUGCUUAACACAUGCAAGUCAACUUGAACUUCGGUUUGGGUGGCGGACGGGUGAGUAACGCGUAAAGAACUUGCCUCACAGCUAGGGACAACAUUUGGAAACGAAUGCUAAUACCUGAUAUUAUGAUUUUAGGGCAUCCUAGAAUUAUGAAAGCUAUAUGCGCUGUGAGAGAGCUUUGCGUCCCAUUAGCUAGUUGGAGAGGUAACGGCUCACCAAGGCGAUGAUGGGUAGCCGGCCUGAGAGGGUGAACGGCCACAAGGGGACUGAGACACGGCCCUUACUCCUACGGGAGGCAGCAGUGGGGAAUAUUGGACAAUGGACCAAGAGUCUGAUCCAGCAAUUCUGUGUGCACGAUGAAGUUUUUCGGAAUGUAAAGUGCUUUCAGUUGGGAAGAAAAAAAUGACGGUACCAACAGAAGAGGUGACGGCUAAAUACGUG